AAGGUCGCUGGUUCGAUUCCAGCAUGAGGCACCGAAAAUUUUUGCUACUCAUGAUCCCUUUUUGGCUUCGUGCCAGAAGCCU
rnacentral:miRNA from 1 species